rnacentral:lncRNA from 1 species
CUUUCUUGGGACUUCUAGAUUCCGGAGAAUCGGAUUGAGAGAAAACGGCAUGGUGCAGUGAGCGGUUUGGUUGCAAAGUGCGGCCAUAGAAAUCUCAGAGAACAGAAAGCAAAGUCUCCAGACAGUGGAAACUCCUCAGCCUCCCAAGCCGACAGGGCUGAAGAAGACAGAGUCCUGCAGAGUUUGAGCCCUCGGAGCACCCAGACACACCAUCCGUACCUAUGGUGUUUUAGCUUCCUCCCUCAGUUCUGCUCAAAGACACGGAUGGUCCUUCACCGCUAGGGCCCUACCUAGCCUGUCCGUGCACCCCAGUGGGGACAAGGAGAGCCAAGAAACUGGACAGGAUCUCUCCCCAGGUGUCACUGAUAAGCCAGUGGGUCACUUGUGUUCUGUGGGACUAGUUUACCUUUCAGCCGGACUUUAGCAGAAAUGGAAGAGGGGAGAAGAUUGGAAAGAUUUGAUUAUUCUCGAGUCUCUCCCUCCAGUGGUGGUAAGAGGGGGGAUAGCCCAGGAGGGACUGCACUCAGAGCUGGAGGGAAUCGCUCUGUGAGAAAUUCAGCUGAGCAGUUAAAAGGCUUUGGGGAAAACAGCGGUUUCCCUCCUCUGCCUGCUUUUCUUAUUCAAAGGGAUUCAACUGCGCCCACGGUUAAGGUGGGGGGCGGGCUCGUCACUUGGGUUUCUGUACUUGACAGCUACCAUUUCAAUAAAUUUCGACAGGAGACGCGGGCUGCUGUGGCGUUUUGU